rnacentral:tRNA from 1 species
GCCGGGGUGGCGGAACUGGUAGACGCGCUCGACUCAAAAUCGAGUGGGCUUCGCCCAUGUGGGUUCGAGUCCCACCCCCGGCACCA